rnacentral:lncRNA from 1 species
GUAGGAUAAAGAGGUUGAAAAAAAGGAGAUCGAGCUUAAUCAAAUUCAAAAAAACCUCAAAGAAAUUUCAAAUAAACAGUAAGAAUUCUUAAAGAAAUACUAGAAGGAUCACAAAUAUCACUCAAAUACAUCUCAAUUCAAUCUUAAUUUAAUUCUAGUUAAAAUUAUAUUGAACUUCAUUCAAACUUUAAGCCAAAACUAAUUGAAUCUUAAAUCCUAAUAAAAUCCUAAAUCCUAAAUCAAACCCUAAACAAAUCUUAAACCAAAUCUCAACCAAAUCCUAAACCAAAUCCCAACCAAACUCUAAACGAAAUCCUAAUCCAAAUCCUUAAUCCUAAACCAAAUCCUAAUCUAAAUCUUAAAUCUUAAACCAAAUCCUAAUUCAAAUCCUAAAUCCUAAAUAAAAUCCUAACCAAAUCCUAAACCAAAUCGUAAACUCCAAACCAAAUCCUAACCAAACUUUAACCAAUUUUCUAAAUUCUAAAUAAAAUCAUAACCAAAUCCUUAACCAAAUCAUAAUCCAAAUCCUAUACUAUAAUUAAAUCCUAAAUCCUUAAUCAAAUCCUAAUCUAAAUC